UGUUGCUGGGUCAGGUAGGUAGUGAUCCUGACAAGUCUAUGGAGCAAUGGAUCAAGGACUACCAGUAGAGGAACAGUCAAAUGAGGAGCCUCCAGUUGAGGAACCAUCUAUCCAAAUACAAAUUUUGGAGCAGAUCACUGACAAUGAUGAACAAAAUGAUAUAUAUGCUGCCC